rnacentral:rRNA from 1 species
UACGGAGGGUGCGAGCGUUUGUCCGGAUUUAUUGGGCGUAAAGGGCUCGUAGGCGGCGUGUCGCGUCGGGAGUGAAAGCCCGUUGCUUAACGGCGGGUUGGCUUUCGGUACGGGCAUGCUGGAGUGCGGCAGGGGGGACUGGAAUUCCUGGUGGUAGCGGUGGAAUGCGCAGAUAUCAGGAGGAACACCGAUGGCGAAGGCAGGUCACUGGGCCGCAACUGACCGCUGAGGAGCGGAAAGCAUGGGGAGCGAACAGG